rnacentral:tRNA from 1 species
GUUCUCGUGGUGUAGUGGUUAUCACAUCCGCCUAACACGCGGAAGGUCCCCGGUUCGAUCCCGGGCGAGAACA